ACUGUUUUGCUGUCCAGAAGUCCGUCUAUAAUUCAUCAUAAACUAAAGGAACACAGGUCAGAUUCGGACAGCGACUUCAAAUCCAUUCGCAGAAUACGCUAAACAAUUGGACGACGGAUACACUGGAUGAUAAUGUAGAUGGUCCAGGAUUAUCUGGGAAGGAAACUACAGGUGUUGAACACAGAAAACCGUUUACAAGAAAACAACUGGAGUUUGUGAAAGCUGCAAGAAAUUAAUCUUGCCGGGUACGCAUUCACUUCACCUUGGUCGAGUGCAGCACAGUGGAUAAAUGUGUUGCUGAAGGAAAACACCAUUGCUAGGAUUCAAACCCACGACACUCUGUUGAAAGGUGAGAGUCAGAACCACUAGACCACGACGCACCCACAGUUAACAAGCUGAUGUCAUACCCCCACUUGUUCUUUUGUAUUUUAUAACAAGAAGUCAUGUUUAUUCACAUUUUGACCUCCAAGAACUAAAAAGUGGAGUGAAGAUUUAUUUAAUGUAAACGCAUGCAUUGCUUGAAAUCAUUUUAUGCUACGUGGGACAUAUCAUACACACGUGUACGAAAAUAUGAAAUUAUUAUGAUUUCAUUUUAUAACAUAAGCCUAACACAUAUUCCUGACGAUCAUGUGCACAUACCAGUAAUUUUUCCCAAAAUGUUGCUAAACCUUCAAAUCAAAGACUUUAUUAUCAGAUUUUAACGAAAUUGUCAACAUUAUGCUUUUCUGAUUAAUUCUCUUCCUACCUAAAUCUCCCCUUUCCUCAUGCUUUCUUUCUAUGGACCCUUCAUUCUCCUUAUAACUAUGUUAUAUGUAAAAUGUAACCGGUCGUCCAACCCAUUUGAUUGAAGGGCUAGGUACUCUAGACUGAAAGUUAUGUGAUUUAAAUUCAAAGAGUACAUCAGACAAAAAAAAACACUGAAAAUUUCAUCAAAAUUGAAUGAGGAUUAACGAAAUUAUGACGAAUUAAAGUUGUUAUUUUUUGGUAAAACUGUUCUCUGCAAGUCCUCAUGAAUAUACAAGAUCCCAAUUUAUAUAUUUUUUUGUAUUAUAUGAAUUCAAAUUUUGUCAAAGCUAGGUUGUAAAAAAUUACGAUUGACUACUGAUAUACUGUGUAAGACAAAAAUUAUAUUAUUUCUCACACAUAGUUGAGUUAUUCAUCUGAUUCAACAUAACAAAAAUAGACAAAAAAGAAAUAAGUGGGAAUCUUGUAUAUUUGAACUAUGGGAAAUAGUUAAAAAAAUAGAUGUGCUACUAAGAAUUAUUUU